AUAAUUUUGGGGUAAGACGAAAACGUAUAAAAAGAACAGCAAAUAAACCUCUGCGUAUUUUGGUGCCCUGCUCAUAAUCUGUACUCUUGGCCAUGGUGGCUAUGAGCUGCACCGCAAUUCAUGACCUUGGUUAUCUGUGGGCUACACAUACUACCCAUGUCAAAAUCAAAGGACCCAAUUCUUCUCUUCCAUUUUCUCGUUCCUUGGGACUCAAUUUUCGUCCCAGCAAUAAGAAUCUCAUCUUCUCCAGGUUGAGAAUUUGUUAUAGAAGGAAGAUGGAUGCAGAACACUGUCUUAGAGUGCCAGUGACAUUUUGUUUAAAGGGAAGUAAUUCUGAAGAAUACCCGAAACAGAUCAGCCAUGUGUUCCAAAUGAUGCCCUAAAGGUAUAUUUAGACAUGUUUUGAUUAUUUGUUGCAUAUCUUUUGGAUUGAAUUUAUUGAUAAGCUUAUGUAUUCCGGUUGAUUUUCUUGAUUUUUAAGUCAUACUUCUUCAUUGUUCAAUCAAUUUGUCCAUUUUUCUCAUGACCUGCUGGGAGUUCCCCAUCAACUUCAAGAAUCUGAAAUGCAAAAAUCUGCAAAACCAGAAACCGAUUGAUGCAAACAAUCUACUCCUUGGAUCUCUAUAUACUCCCCAUGAAUGGUUCUAAUAGUUUCAUACUGUAUGAUCACGAACUUUUAGUUAUUCUUAUUGUAAAGGCUUUGGUUUUUAAUGACUAAAUUUGGGCUACUUUGAGUAUUACCACUCUUAUUGGAGAGUUGAAAUGGUUUGUUCACACUUUCCCUAGAUUUUAAGAUACAUGCAGAACUUAUGUUCAGUUAUUGACAACUGUAAAGAUAAUGCUGGAGUUAUCACUAUAUGGGUCACCGUUUCUUGACGUUAUUUUGAAAAAAAUCGAAAGGAAAAUAAUAUUUUUUGCUCCCCUUUUUCCCAAUUUCUUUAUUAUUCUCACCGAUAGAUUUUAUUUCUUUUCAUGGCACUGUUAGAUAUAUUCUGUUGACUAUAGAUAUAUUGGGUAAAACAAACCUAGAGAUGGUUCGUAAUUAUAAGGUCCAGCAAUUGCUUUUUACUUGGGAUAAAUCAUCAGGAUUGCUUUUCUUAUGAGAAUUGACAUUCUAGAUUUAAGCGUGAAUUUGAAAGUCUUGUUUUUAAUGCAGGUAUGACCAAAAAUAUCUGGCAUGGGUUCAGUAAUUUGUACCUUUUACAUAUUUCUUGAUGCUCGACUUAAUUCUUAAUUUAAGCACGAAAUCAAAUGUCUUGUUAUUAAUGCAAGAAUGACCUAAAAUAUUUGGCAUGGGUUAUAAAAUUUUUAGUUUCAACACAUUUCUUGAUGUUUGACAUAGUAGUUAUUUAUUGUCGUGCAACUUUUUCUUGAGAAUGUGCUUCUCGGGUUCUUUC